rnacentral:lncRNA from 12 species
GGUUUGUUAUUUGGGUGUUUAUAAACAACAAAGAUAAAGAACUCCAAGAUGGUUUUACCAAAUUUCCACUGCUUCUUAAAAAAAAAUUGUAUUUUUAAAACUCUGGCUCUUACACCUCAAUGCACUGUGUAGAAAUUAAAUUAAGCAAAGGAGAUUUAAAUAUUCCAGGUGAUAUUUCACAAUUUACUUCCAGGAUUUAUCCAUGGAUGAGGACAGCAGGGACAUUUUGCAGCUCCUGGAGAACAACACAGAAUAUUUAUUUUUAGUGCUGGAAUUUAUUCAAGCUGUAAGAUUAUUACAGCUGAGAGAAAACCACUAUAAGGAAAUAAUCAGAAGUUUAAAAGGCUGCAACCAGGAGAAGUUUGUGGAUGAUGCAAACAUCACAACCAAUGAAGUGAAAAAAUUCAGAGAGCAGAAAAUGAGGAAGCUGAAGGAGCAGCUGGAAAAGAAAAAAACUGAGAAUAUUUCAAGUAGUUUUGAUCCUUUUCAGAGUUGGAUGAAGGAUUGCACAGAGAGGAAAUCUUCCCUAGCAAGGGAUUUCCAGCUGGUGGCACAGAGAACGAGAUCAGGAGGAGCUAAAAAAAAAAUAAAAAUGCAUCAGGACAGGAUUUCCCCAGCCCAGAGCAGCCAGAAUUCCCAAAUUCCAGAGCCACGUGCCCAGGAUCAGCUCCUGCUGUUCCUGACUAAGAGUAUCAAGGUGCUGAAGCAGGCAGAGCAGCUGAUGGCAUCCAGGAUCACCCUGCUGAACCCUCAGCUCACAGCACCUCCCCUGCAGGGUAAAAAAAAAAAAAAGGGGGGGGGGGGUAAAAAAAAAAAAAAAA